rnacentral:misc_RNA from 1 species
GAUGAAGAACGUAGCGAAAUGCGAUAAGUAGUGUGAAUUGCAGAAUUCAGUGAAUCAUCGAAUGUUUGAACGCACAUUGCGCCCCUUGGUAUUCCAUGGGGCAUGCCUGUUCGAGCGUCAUUUGUACCUUCAAGCGUUGCUUGGUGUUGGGUGUUUGUCUCGCCUUUGCGUGUAGACUCGCCUUAAAAUAAUUGGCAGCCGGCGUAUUGAUUUCGGAGCGCAGUACAUCUCGCGCUUUGCACUCAUAACGACAGCGUCCAAAAGUACAUUUUACACUCUUGACCUCGGAUCAGGUAGGGAUACCCGCUGAACUUAAGCAUAUCAAUAAGCGGAGGA